rnacentral:rRNA from 1 species
UCUACCUAGUAGUACGGAAUAAUUGUUGGAAACGGCAACUAAUACCGUAUACGCCCUACGGGGGAAAAAUUUAGUUGCUAUUAGAUGAGCCUAUAUUAGAUUAGCUAGUUGGUGGAGUAAUAGCCUACCAAGGCAAUGAUCUAUAGCUGAUCUGAGAGGAUGAUUAGCCACACUGGAACUGAGAUACGGUCCAG